GGUUCUUGUUCAGGUUACUACUUUCCUGAGUUGAAGUAAGUAUUAUGAAGUCUCUAUUAGGUCGAAUGACCUGCUGAAUCCUUGUUUGCUUGAUCACUGGAUCUCUUUGUGCUGUAAAACAUGGUGGCCUAUAAUUCUGACUUCAAACACCUUUUCUCCAAUCUUGGGCAGAGUUAUUUGUUUAUGGUCUGUUUUGUAAACGCCUUUUCUGGAAAACUGUGCUAUUUGAAGAGGGUAUGAAUAUGAAACCAAUGAAGAUAAAUUGUCUGUUGUUUCUUGUACUGACUCUUUUCAGAAGAAAUAUAGAUUUUUAUGAAGUUUUUUAUAA